GACGAACGCUGGCGGCGUGCUUAACACAUGCAAGUCGAACGGAAAGGCCCUGCUUUUGUGGGGUGCUCGAGUGGCGAACGGGUGAGUAACACGUGAGUAACCUGCCCUUGACUUUGGGAUAACUUCAGGAAACUGGGGCUAAUACCGGAUAGGAGCUCCUGCUGCAUGGUGGGGGUUGGAAAGUUUCGGCGGUUGGGGAUGGACUCGCGGCUUAUCAGCUUGUUGGUGGGGUAGUGGCUUACCAAGGCUUUGACGGGUAGCCGGCCUGAGAGGGUGACCGGCCACAAUAGGACUGAGAUACGGCCCAGACUCCUACGGGAGGCAGCAGUGGGGAAUAUUGCACAAUGGGCGGAAGCCUGAUGCAGCGACGCCGCGUGCGGGAUGACGGCCUUCGGGUUGUAAACCGCUUUCGCCUGUGACGAAGCGUGAGUGACGGUAAUGAGUAAAGAAGCACCGGCUAACUACGUG
rnacentral:rRNA from 1 species